CUACAACAUCAUUAUCGAUUUUCGGUUUGAGAAGAAAUCAGAGUUUUGAAAGGGUAUUUUGGUGAAUAAUUCGAAAAUUACUAGUUGAGGCGUGAAAUAACGAAAUUACCAAACGGGCUAUUUUAUAAUAAGAGUUAAGUACGAUCCAUACCGGAUUUGAGUUCAAAAGAUACGAACGGGGAAAUACGGAGGUUUUAUAUUACAUCACCAAAAAAGGAAAACCCAAAAUAUUUAGCAUCGUUCAUAGGUCCUCGUACAACUUCCAACAUACCCGGGCAAGACCUCGAUCGCUACUCGACCCAUCCCGAUUGAGUAUCACUAGCACUACUACCUGCAAUUAAAAGACAUCUAUAUGAGCUAUAAAGCUCAGUAAGAAAUCUGAUGAAAUAUCGAACUUUGAAAAUACGUUAUACAUAAUAUAAUAUUAUAUACCCAUUCUUACCCACGUUCCGUACAACACAAGCCAAUCGGUGAAUUCACAUAACUCACGGAAACACAUCAUUCACACAUAAUCAAUUACUUAUGCAAAAUGACUCAAAUGCCCUUUUUAUGAAAAUCAUGAAAAACACAUUUUUCGUUUUAUCGGAUCCGUGAAAGAUUAAUUUAUGUACCUGAGUAAUAAACCUGUUACGAGCCUGUUUUCACUAAGUGGGAUCAAACCACAUCAUUUCAUCCUAGUUGGAUACCGGCCCUCUACACCCGAGUUGUUUAUUACCCGGUAUUCCAUUAAUCUUUCAAUUUAAAAACCGUUUAAUGCAACUUUUUGAAAUCAUGCUUAUGACACAUAACAUCACAAAGAUCAAUCAAGUGCCACAAAAUCACACAAAUAUCACAAUUUACCACAUAUUUAUAAUUUGGGGCAAAAAUCCCCAAAUUCACACACAAUCUCACACGGCACACACACAUACACAUUCAGCACAUACACACACAUUGAUUCAGCACACACACAUGCAACCAACACAUUAAAACAUCACCAUUUAUUAUUCAAACCAUGCUUGUAAAGCAAGCACCCCUUUUUUUUACCUUUCAUUAAAUGAACUUAUUACCACAUCUAAGUAAUAAUCCAUUCCAAUAAAUUCCCACAGAAAUUAAUCCACAUCCAUGCAGCAAUUAAAAGUACAAAACCCCAAAGUUCAUUACUCACAAUUAUUAAUUCAAAGAUAUGGAAAUUAAAGCACAAAAACAUGAUAAAUGGCAUACAUAAUGUUCUAAUUUCGAAAUAAUAGCAAAUCAAUUCUAAAAAUUCCCAAAUUAAAUCCUAUAGAUCCUAACUGAUCCAAAUUUUAAUUUCAGUAAUUAUUUUAAAUUUUCAUAAAGUUUCGAAUUUUCUUGAAAUUAAAAACUCGAAAAUUUGAUUUUUUUCUUUUAAAAAUCCAAACCUCUAAUAUAACCUUAAUUACUUUAAAAAAAUUGUAAAGAAAUUUUUUCCCCAUUUAAUACUUGCUGGAAAAACAGAUUCAAACUUUAGAAUUGAGAGAUUUUUCGGAAAUUGCAGUUUUGACAGCAAAGUUUCAAGAUUUACAUAUGCAACCACACUAAAAGUUCAAAAUCCAUUUUUUCAUGCAAAACCCCUAACAAUAUGAAAUUUUACUUUAAUAAAUGCAGAAAACAAAGUUAAAAAGUUACUUUAUGCAUAAAUUUUGAAAAUUACAUAUUUCACCCCAAAAUCUCUAGAUCUAUACAUGCAAGACCACUAGAAGUUCAAAAAUCACUUUUUCUUGCAAAAACUUUUUAAAUCCGAAAUUUAUGUUCAAUAAAUGCUGGAAAAACAGUUUUGAAAACACUUUUAGGACUGACUUCUUGAAAAUUACAGAUUUGGCCCAAAAAUCGUUCGAUUUACACAUGCAACCUCAUAAAAGUUCAAAAUUCAUUUUUCUUGAGACCUCGUUUUGAAAUCCGAAAUUGUUGAUGCUUUUGGCCAAUAAAACUUGUAUCUACCAACUACCAACAUAGAUGAUGCAUGCAAGAACAAGAAAUCAACAUUAAACACAUCUUUUCCACUUUUCCCCAAAAAGCCCUAAUUUUUUCGAAAUCACUCCAAAUCUUUUACGAAAUUUUGAAAAACAUUUUAAUACUAUUGAUGCCAUUUAAUUGCAGCGAGAAAUCGUAAUUUCUUACCUUAAGAAACCUAAAGGAAAAUGAAGGAAAAUCGAAGGAAAAUGCUUCAAAGGUUGAUGCCAAGAUCUAGCCAAACAUAUUCGAUGGUGAAGGAGAUGGAGUGGAUUUUCAAGUGAGAUGUGUAUUUUUUUUCUCGGUGAAUGAUGUUGUAGGCUAAUCAAAGUCCAUAGUUAAAUAGAGGACUUUCAAAAUUAUUUUUCAUUUUCUUUGAAAAUCAAGGGAUGAGGUGGAAGAAGAUGAAGAAUGGAGGUGGUGGUGUUCAUUCAGUG
rnacentral:lncRNA from 1 species